rnacentral:tRNA from 1 species
UCCCUAGUGGCUCAGCUGGUAAAGAAUCUGCCUGCAGUGCAGGAGACCUGGGUUCGAUCCCUGGGUUGGGAA